rnacentral:rRNA from 1 species
GACGAACGCUGGCGGCGUGCUUAACACAUGCAAGUCGAACGGAAAGGCCCUGCUUGCAGGGUACUCGAGUGGCGAACGGGUGAGUAACACGUGGGUGAUCUGCCCUGCACUUCGGGAUAAGCCUGGGAAACUGGGUCUAAUACCGGAUAGGAGCCAUUUUUAGUGUGAUGGUUGGAAAGUUUUUUCGGUGUAGGAUGAGCUCGCGGCCUAUCAGCUUGUUGGUGGGGUAAUGGCCUACCAAGGCGGCGGCGGGUAGCCGGCCUGAGAGGGUGGACGGCCACAUUGGGACUGAGAUACGGCCCAGACUCCUACGGGAGGCAGCAGGGGGGAAUAUUGCACAAUGGGCGCAAGCCUGAUGCAGCGACGCCGCGUGGGGGAUGACGGCCUUCGGGUUGUAAACUCCUUUCGCUAGGGACGAAGCUUUUUGUGACGGUACCUAGAUAAGAAGCACCGGCUAACUACGUG